UGAAUCUUUUUACAAGAAAGUAGAGUGUAACUAGAAAAUUAAAAAUGAGCACUGGAGCCAGGUGCAGUGGCUCAUGUCUAUAAUCCCAGCACUUUGGGAGGCUGAGGUGGGAGGAUCUCUUGACUCCAGGAGUUUGAGACCAGCUUGGGCAACAUAGGGAGAACCUGUCUCUACAAAAAAUAAAAAUUCAGCCAAGCAUGGUAUGUAUGCCUGUGGUUUCAACUACUUGGGAGGUUGAGAUGGGAAGAUCACCUGAGCCCAGGAGGUUGAGGUUGCAGUGUGACAUGAUCACACCACUGCACUCCAGCCUGGGCGACAGAGUGCGAUCCUGUCUCAAAAUAAAUAAAUAAAUAAAUAAAUAAAUAAAUAAAUAAAGCACUGUUUUUAUUCUUUAAUUCAGAUGUUACUGAAAAUCUACUAUGUUCCAGGAAGGGUGUAAGGCAGUAUGGACACAAGGAUAAAGCAUGGUCUUUGUUCUCAAGAAUCACCUAGUGCAGCAGGCCCCACCAGCACACAAUUAUGUAGUAGCAUAUUGGUAGCCACUGGUGUUCACUAUGCUUGCAUAAGCUUGAACUUGAAGGAUGACUAGAUGUGGGGGAGCCAGGACGAAGGUCAUUUUGGGCUGAGAGAGAAAUAUGUGCAAAGGCCCGGAUGAGGGAGAAAUUAUGGAAUGACCAGGAAUUUGAAAGAAAUUCAUUGUCACUUGAGGGGGAGUGUGAGUCGUAUAAGAUAACGCAGUGGUAUGUCUGCAGGUAUGCUUGUUAAACAUUUACCAGCAUAUCCCUGAAGAUGAGGUUUGGAAGGUGGACAAAAAACCAGAUCAUGAAGAUGUUGCAUGUCAUGCUCAGGAGGCUGAGUUUUAUCCUGAAAGCCAUGGAGAGCUAUUGGACCAUUUAGGGUAGAGGCACGCUCAGAUUUAGGUUUAGAAAGAUAACUCAGAGAAUGGACAAGAUUGGCAUCAGGGAGACAAACUGACAGGCAGCUGCGGUGGUCAGGCCAGAGCUAUUGAGGGUGGUGGCAUUGGGGUGGAGGCAAAACAUUCAAGAGAUGCUAAGGGUGUAUCAUCAACAGGGCCCAGUGGCCAAGUUGGAUAUGCAUGGUGAUAAAGGGGGAGACCUGGUCUUUUCUGGCUUGGGCAACUGUGGGGAUAGCAGACACAUGCCUCAAGUUAGAGGAUAUGGAAAGAUAAGCAGGCUAUGGGCAUGAGGAUUAUGAGGAGCUCUGUCUAAACUUGUUUUAUCUCAUAUUUGGCAUUUACUAUAUUUUUUGUUGUAUUUUGUUACUCAUCCUUUUAGGUGGACUCUGAUCCUUCUGAGGUCCUGGAUCAGAUUAACCAACGUGGGUAUGCCCCGCACCUUUCACUCAUUACCACCCCUCAAAAGGUCACUUUGCCAAACAUGAGUACAUGGCCCCCACGCUAAGCCUGUGAGCAGCUGCAAGCCAUAUCAUCUGCACAGUUGAGCACGGCAGGAACUUUGAACCAGGACCCAAUUUCACCCUGAGGAUGUGCUUCUCCUCUGAGGGGAGCAAAGCCCCUGGCUUGACCUGGCUCCCUUCUGGGAGGGAGGACCACGUCUCAAUUUGACAGCAGGAGGCUGUAGGUCAGUGGGGUGAUGACCUGGCCCUGGGAGACCUGCUCUUUCUCUCAGCAGAACCCCAUAAAUCCUUCAAAAGGAAGUAAGUAAUUCCCUCGGGAUCAAGAGAGCCCUCCGCAUUCUUGAAAUAAAUGAAGGCAAAAUGUACAGGGAUUUCUGAGAAAAGUAAAUGUGGUGUGAGCAUGAUCCCUGGGUGUUACUAUGCACAGAAAAGGCUUUUUUUUUUUUUUUUUCCCCUCUCCUGAAUGGUGUUCUUUGCUCUCAAGUGAACUCAUGCACUGGAUUUGGUCCAAGUACAUUUUGUUUCUUGAUUUCCAGCCAGGCUUCUCUCAGUUGUGAUGCAUUCUCUUCUUUGCUUCCCUCCUUCCCCAGUCCUGUUCUCUCUUUUUAUAAUGCUUUCAACUUUUCCAUGUGACUGAACCAACACAGAGGAAAACCCACCAGCUUAGGUAGGGCUUCCACAAGAGUGGGGCCAGAGGGACUUCUUUGUGAACGGCCAGCCCCUCACGCAGCCCCGGCCUGCACGGCGAGGUUUGUCUGAGGCAGCUGAAGCAGAAAGCAUUUGAACUCUGCCCUCUACCAAAUGAUUUCCAGAUGUGUAAACCCCAGCCUCCCGCUGCACUCUGACUGUAGCCCUGCCAACGUACAUCUGCAGAUUCCUAGUGCACAGGAAACUUGAAAGAGUAUCUUUACAACAUCUGCUGUCUUUUCCCAGCUCUCCCUCUCUGCCUUCUCGGACUUUGCCCCGUAUUUUAUAUCCUCUCUUCAACAAAUCCAUUAGAGAACUGCUGCACAGCCCUUCUUGGCUCACAGAUGCCAGCUGUCUGUUUCACCCCAGAGCCUGUUCUUGGCUCUCUCAAGCACCACUAGAAUCAUUGACCGAAGCACCACUAGAAUCAUUAAAGAAGCUUAUUGGGCUCAUGGAGGGGAAAAAAAGGACCAAGUUUUCUCCAUUGGAUUGGUGCCAGUCUACAAGCUGCAAAGGGAGAUUUAGCCAUAAGGAGGUCAGAGCAGAGCCCUAAAGAUGGAAACACGAGUUUGCAUGGAGAGUUUGCCUGCUAUACCUGAGAGAAGGGGAAGUAUUGAUGUACAGAAUGAGUUCCUUGCCUUCCCCUUCCCUAGGGCAUGCUACCCAUCAAGCUAAGAGGCCAGAAGAAGAUCUUUUUAUAAUGUAACUCAAAGGAGGGGAGAAAAGAGCCAGAGACCCUUUUAGCAUAAUGGAGCAGAUGAUUUUUACUAAGGCGUGCACUCUCACCAGGGAAAUGGCUUGAUUGCUGUGUAAAUAGAUGCUUGACCUUCAUCCUGCCAUUCAUCCAUAUGGACCCUAAACGCUCUCCAGCUCUAUCCUAGGGGACAUGGAAUGGAGGCAAGUGUCAAAAUCUUGGCAAGGAAAAGAGGGUGCACUAUAGAAGGGAGCAGAGAAUUGAAUGGGCCUAUGAGCUCAGGAGCCUUGGGGAGGAACAGUUAUAGGUGAGAGGCCCCCACCUACAUGGGACCUAUGCCCUAAGCAUGCAGGCCUACCUGGGAGGCAGUGAGCUAGCUGGGUUAGGGAAAACUGUUCCUUAUUGCCACCCAUGGUGGGUCUAGUGUGGCUUAAGAGGUGAUUUUCUGGUCCCUGGUAAGACCGUCUCACCCUCUUAUCUGCAGGACAUAAUAGUAAGUGGGUGACAUUUAUAUUUUCGGCUUCAAUAGUCCCAAACACUUUAGACAGACUGAGGCUCUCAGAUGAAGCCCUAUGACUUGGCUGACUUGCUGCCACAGUAGCCUCCCUAUUUACAAAAACAAAAUCCACCAAAACACAUUGGCCUUGUACUUCAAGCAGGAAAUAUAAGAAAAACAAGGGGAAGAGAUAAAGCAGGUUUUGGAAUUCCUUUCCUUCACCCAUAUCUUUCCUUACAGGUUUUCCAAAGACAUUGGAACACCCCUGUAGCCAUAGUAGCUCUUUUUUAAAGAGGAGAGGAAUCUGUAGAUUCUUUCACAUGAGGGUGGGUGAGUAAAAGUUAAGCAAACAAUUCCCUUGUGCAUGAUUAUUUAGCUUAUGGUGAACCUAUGGUUAACUGUGGAGCUCUGAUACUCUGGCAACCUCCUAAGGGUAGAAUGCAAACUCCAUUUCUAGGCAGCAUUGCUGAUGAUAAAAAUGACCCCGAUUGGUAGAUUGCAUCUGGACUGGGAGGAACCAUAAACAAAUCAUAAUAUCUGCCAGGGACGCGAUGCUUUGUGCUUCCCUGAAAGUGGUUACGUUUUUAAGGUGCAUCUUGGGGCAAUAAAAGCAAUGUCUAGGGAGUUGUCUCAGGAGAUAUUGGCUCCUUUGAAGAGUGAGCUUUUUAAUCAGGUUAGCCCUCACAUCUGCCCAAUGUGGAACUCAUCCCUCAUACCUGAACUGCCUCUGGGUGGAAGAAAAUGCUGGAUGGCUGUGAGUUGAGAGGAUUUGAAAUGGAACACAAAGUGUAUUUGAUACUCCUAAGCCCAGGGUCAGACAGAUUCUAAGCUAGUCCUGGGUGAUGAUCUCUACCUCCUAGUAUUGUAUAAUCCUUCCCCUCGAGUAACUUGCUUCUAACAGAUAGAAUAUGCAAUAUUGAAGGUGUUACUUCUGUUACUAGGUUACAAAAAUUGUGAUUUCUGUCUUGUUAGCAAAUUCUUUCUCUUAUUGGCUUUGAUGAAGUAAGUUGAUAUGUUAGAGAGGCCUACAUGGCAAAGAACUGAGGACACCGUAUCGUUCACAGUUAGCAAGCAACCAGAGUCUUCAUUCCAGAGCCUUUGAGGAACAAAAUCCUGCCAAAAACCACAUAAGUGAGUUUGGAAGCAAAUCUUCCUUUAGUCAAACCUUCAGAUGAGAUCUCAGCCCUAUCUGACACCUUGGUUGCAGUCUUGUGAGAGUCUAAAAGUAGAAGUCUAGCUAAGCUCUCCCUGCAUUCUUGACUCUCAGGAACUGUGAGAUAAAAUAUAUAUAUAUAUUAUAUAUAUUAUUUUAAGGUGAUAAAUUUUAGGGUAGUUUGUUACUAGGAUGACCAACAGUGUUGGUUUGCCUAAGACUAACUCAAGACUGUCCCAGUUCUGGCACUGAUAAUCCUGAGUUCCAGUAAAUCCCUCAGCCUUGGACAAACUGGAACAAUUGUUACUCUAUUUGUGAUAGACAAUUAGUACAUAUAUGCAUAUGUUAUUUCUCACUUAAGCAAGUGUAUCUUCAAGAUAGACUCCUAGAAGUGGGUUUUUGGGGUCUAAACAGUAAAGUCACCUAGAAUUUUAUGUUUCUAAAUUCCCCUUCAUAAGGUUUGUACCAUUUUGUACUCCCAUCUGCAAGAUGAAAAUGCUUGUUUCUCCAUGGUCUGCUGUUUUCAUUACCAGUUUAUUUGAUAAUUAAAGCAAUUUAAUCUUUUAUUAUCUAAGUGUAAGCUGAUUCAUAGUCUCUUAGAAUAAAGAAAUACAUUUAAACAUUAAUUAACACUUGUAGAAUUGAACUGCAUGAUUUAUACUUUAUUUCGA
rnacentral:lncRNA from 1 species